CCGAAAUGGACUAGGAGAAUUUCAGCUUUAUUGAGGAGAGACUCCACAGCAGAAAGCCAAGACAAAGCUCCAGGAUGCUGUGUUCCUCCAAUACAGAGCAACAGGCUUCUGUGUCUCUCCAGUCCUUUGGUCUGAACUGUCAGUGUGCAUCUCCUUCAUCUUACUCCAGCCCCAUCACUGCUUGCUGGACAGAAAGAUGCCUGGCCACAUCUUGAAACAUGUACCCAGAUACUUCCUGACAUGAGGAUGUGCACACUCAGCAUUCCUGACGCUGACUGAAGUGAGCAUCUUUCACCUACACUUCCCAUGAAUGACUAUCAUAUCAUGCCUGAGCUCUAGAGGAGCUCAGAGACUGCACAUAGCAUCAGAAGGACAUGCUGUGGUAGACAAUGAAAUGUUUCUGUUCUACCAUCCAACUACACACAACCACUCCAAAUUGCUAAUGAUAUCAGGUGACGCUAUAGGUGGAUCUCUUUGUGAAAGCCACCCAGGGGGUACAUAAACCUGAUUCACUGCCCACCUAAGAUACUUUGCAUUUUGGCUAUGAAACCUGCCUGAGCAGAUAAAGAAUAUAUCUUACCAGAGCCUUGGCAUGUGAAUGUGCAUCCCUUUUGUGGCUCUAGACUUGUUCUCCUGAGAAGAGCAGUGGCCAUGGACCCAAAGUCACAGGCUAUCACUUACAUGAAGACAGUGAAAUAGAGGGCAUCCUCUUGGACCAUCUCUCUGCAAUCUUGGUUAGAUAAUAUUUACAAACAAAAGGGCUGAAAUAUUUCAGUAGAAUUCCAAAAUCAUCUUUAAAUUGGCAUUCAGAACACUUUGACAGAUGGCUGAGAGAAAAACAAAUUGGCUUGAGCUUUUGGGCAGUUCCAGUCACUGUUCUUUUUAAUUUUUUUCAAUAGUUUAUUUAUUUUAUUCACUUUACACUUCUAUCACAGCCCCCCUCUUUCCUCUGCUCCUGGUCAGAGCCUUACAUAUUCCUCCUCAUACUACCCCAUUUCCUUCUCCUCAGAGAAGGUGGAGCUCCCCUUGGAUACCUUUUUUUCUUGGAAGCAGCCUGGGAUUUUUGAGAAUUUCCAUGGGAUCUUCCAGUCAUCAACUCAAAUGAAUGCAAUGCAGUCCCACUACUAGAAGCUAUGCCUGCCUACCAGAGAUGGCCAGUUGAGUCUUCAGAGUCCCCAUUUCUAAGAGUCCUCAUUAGGAUCACCAUUAUAAAUUCCAGAAAGUUUCCAUUGCACCUCGUUUCCACAACAAAUGUCCCCAAAUUCCAAUCAUCUCUCCCAGGGUUUGGCACUCUCUCUUUCACCCCAAGUGGUACUCUCUUGAAAUUCAGGAAAUUGCUCUUUCACAGAGCAAAACACCAGGAUUGAUUUGCCAACACCAGACUCUCCUAGAAGGACUUGAACUUGAAUAUUUUACUUCCAGUAUUUGUCCCAUUGGGUCUUGUUGCUCCUCCAUAUGCCAUGUCCAAAUUUUAGAGAAGUUCCUCAUCUCAAAUUCCUAAACGAACUUCCAGCAUCAAUUUUGUUUUCUUUCUGGAGAAAAUACCUUCAAGAAAUUGAUUUUGGAGCUGGGGCCUGGAAGAGUGCUUGUCCAGCAAACAGCAAGCUCUGAGACUCCUGUCAGCAAGGCCAUGCUGGCAUGGAGAUCUGAUGCACCCCAGCUGUAGUGGAGUCGCCUGAUGGCUACUUCUCACACUGGCCUGAGCUGGACUCCGAGCACCAAGCCACCCCUGCUUUGCUCUGUCUCUGCCUUAGACAUCUGGAGUUUUGAAGGCACAAGCAGACACCUGAAAGCAACAUAUUCUAAGUAAAUAUGAAGACGGAGGAGCAAAUAAAGCCUAGGUUUUUUUCAUCUCAGGGACAGCCACAGUAAUGGACUUCUGACACCAAGCCUAGACAAUAAAAUGUUCUUCCCCAAACUGUGCCAACAACUGGUGUCCAUGUGUCCAAAUGCCCAAGAUUGUAAGAGACAUUUCUCAUUCAAUGUAUUGCAGUGGUUUUGUUGAAGGUAUCUCAGAUAUUGAACAUUUGAUUUCUAGUACGGGAAUUUGUGGAAUACAAGGAGGUGGAGC
rnacentral:lncRNA from 1 species